rnacentral:rRNA from 1 species
GACGAACGCUGGCGGCGUGCUUAACACAUGCAAGUCGAACGAAGAGCGAUGGAAGCUUGCUUCUAUCAAUCUUAGUGGCGAACGGGUGAGUAACGCGUAAUCAACCUGCCCUUCAGAGGGGGACAACAGUUGGAAACGACUGCUAAUACCGCAUACGAUCUGACCUCGGCAUCGAGGAUAGAUGAAAGGUGGCCUCUACAUGUAAGCUAUCACUGAAGGAGGGGAUUGCGUCUGAUUAGCUAGUUGGAGGGGUAACGGCCCACCAAGGCGAUGAUCAGUAGCCGGCCUGAGAGGAUGAACGGCCACAUUGGGACUGAGACACGGCCCAGACGCCUACGGGAGGCAGCAGUGGGGAAUCUUCCGCAAUGGACGAAAGUCUGACGGAGCAACGCCGCGUGAGUGAUGACGGCCGUCGGGUUGUAAAGCUCUGUUAAUCGGGACGAAAGGCCUUUUUGCGAAUAGUGAGAAGGAUUGACGGUACCGGAAUAGAAAGCCACGGCUAACUACGUG